rnacentral:lncRNA from 1 species
GGGAGAGACAGAAACUGGAUAGGAAGGAGAGACAGAGACACGCAGCGACUCAGACGAGGCAAAGAAAUGCUUUUCCUGCUGGGCUCCUACUCAUUCUUUGACUUGGGGCCUCUCCAGCUGCUGUGCCUACCUUAGCCUCAGCGGACACCCUAUUCUAUUCCAUGAUCCAGGCCUGACUCCUCCGCCACUUUCCGAGGGUUGAAGUCGCUCUGCAGACAAGGGAACCUAAGCGGGCAAGGAUUGGGAAGUGCAGCAUCACGUUUUAAAGCCAGGUCUGACUCCGGAGCCUCCUUAACGCCUGCACCUGCACUGCGGGGCCUCCCAGACUUGGCUGGUGUCUCCCUCUACCCCGUUCCCUCAGCCCUUCCAGUCUGGCUGAGCCGGGAUCUACCGAGGGGGUGGCUGCACAGUGGGCAGGACAGCUCAGGUCCAGCAGAGGCAGCCCCUGGGGUCUUGUUCCCACCACGACGUGAGCCGGGCAUCAGCCUGACAGAUCU